GUGGUAGUAACACGUGGAUAACCUACCUAUAAGACUGGGAUAACUUCGGGAAACCGGAGCUAAUACCGGAUAAUAUAUUGAACCGCAUGGUUCAAUAGUGAAAGACGGUUUUGCUGUCACUUAUAGAUGGAUCCGCGCCGCAUUAGCUAGUUGGUAAGGUAACGGCUUACCAAGGCAACGAUGCGUAGCCGACCUGAGAGGGUGAUCGGCCACACUGGAACUGAGACACGGUCAG
rnacentral:rRNA from 1 species